AUGCUGAUGUUUCAUCUCCACGAUGCCGAAGGAAGGACCAAAGCAGCUACAGCAGGCAUGACGAGCGUCGGGCAAACACCACGGCACCCAGAGAUGCCCUGCAGCAUUACAGCUGCACAUCAAACUGGUUUUACUGGGCACUACAGUGUUGAGUGGAAGACUUGUUUAUUCUUUAUACGUCUAAAGCAGACUCCUUUAAGUUAAUACAGUGGAUUUCCAUUAUUACCAUUUGUCGCCGAUAUGGAUAAUUUACCAAUGUUGUAUGUUUUUUUUCCAGCAAAAUAAUCCAAUGGGGCCAAAUAGUUAUACAAAGUUUUAACUGUCGUGAUGUUGUUCUACUCCUGAGCUGGUCAGGUUUUACAGCAGGACUGGAAACUGAUAAAAGAAAUAAAACAUUGUGUUUCUGAGCUCUCA